rnacentral:rRNA from 1 species
AGAGUUUGAUCAUGGCUCAGGAUGAACGCUGGCGGCGUGCCUAACACAUGCAAGUCGAACGAAGCGCGCUGGGGAAGUCCUUCGGGAUGGAAGCGGAGCGACUGAGUGGCGGACGGGUGAGUAACGCGUGGGUAACCUGGCCCAUACAGGGGGAUAACAGCUGGAAACGGCUGCUAAUACCGCAUAAGCGCACAGUACCGCAUGGUAGAGUGUGAAAAGCCGAGACGGUAUGGGAUGGACCCGCGUCUGAUUAGCUGGUUGGCGGGGUAGAGGCCCACCAAGGCGACGAUCAGUAGCCGACCUGAGAGGGUGACCGGCCACAUUGGGACUGAGACACGGCCCAAACUCCUACGGGAGGCAGCAGUGGGGGAUAUUGCACAAUGGGGGAAACCCUGAUGCAGCGACGCCGCGUGAACGAGGAAGUAUUUCGGUAUGUAAAGUUCUAUCAGCAGGGAAGAAGAGAGACGGUACCUGAGGAAGAAGCUCCGGCUAAAUACGUGCCAGCAGCCGCGGUAAUACGUAUGGAGCAAGCGUUAUCCGGAUUUACUGGGUGUAAAGGGAGCGUAGGCGGUGGCAUAAGUCUGAUGUGAAAGCCCGUGGCUCAACCGCGGGACUGCAUUGGAAACUGUGUAACUGGAGUGUCGGAGGGGUAAGUGGAAUUCCUAGUGUAGCGGUGAAAUGCGUAGAUAUUAGGAGGAACACCAGUGGCGAAGGCGGCUUACUGGACGAUAACUGACGCUGAGGCUCGAAAGCGUGGGGAGCAAACAGGAUUAGAUACCCUGGUAGUCCACGCUGUAAAC